GCAUGCCUGAUACAAGACCCCUGAAUAGUGAUUGGAGCAUUAAAGCCAUGGUGGUAUUCAUUUUUUGCAGCCGUUGGAUGAUGUAUCAUAAAACAGAAUUUCACUUCGGAUAGCUGCAUGUGUACAUAUGUGGUGGAGGAACUCAACAAUUUCCAGUAAAAGCAAACGUUUUUGCAGUCAAAGGUUGUGCUUCUCGAUGAUCAGAUAUUUAUGGCAUGGUUGUUUAUGCUCUGCUCAUGGUCGUGCCUGCGAAGCUGUGAUGACUUGACGACAGGAGAAGUGGUCAGGAUUGAGCCAUCGGACAAGAGAUGACCGCCGUCGAUUGCCAACAAAUUUCUGUAUGUCGCAGUGAGCGGGAUGCGUUCAAUAUCUUCAGAUGCUCUGCGCUGCACCCGCUAUAUUUGAUAUGAGUCCACAUGCAAAAUAAAGGCAUCACAUGUUCU